rfam:Gorilla gorilla gorilla genomic chromosome, chr5, whole genome shotgun sequence
GCCAGGUGUGGUGGCUCACGCCUGUAAUCCCAGCACUUUGGGAGGCUGAGGCAGGCAGAUCACCUGAGGUCAGGAGUUCAAGACCAGCAUGGCCAACAUGGUGAACCCCUGUCUCUACUANAAUUACAAAAAUUCCAUAAUAUUUUUAAUUCCUGAAGCAGUGGAGUGAGUCACAGGCACCCGCCACCACACAUGGCUAAUUUUGUAAUUUUAGUAGAGACAGGGGUUCACCAUGUUGGCCAUGCUGGUCUUGAACUCCUGACCUCAGGUGAUCUGCCUGCCUCAG